GUUUUGUUGUGUGUGUGUCUAAAAGUGCCUAGUGUAACAGAGUGAUGGUGAAAGAAGUGAAAACGCUAUGUAAUUGCAGCGCUGUUUGGUAACUGCUGCUGCUGCUGCCACCGUGUCGCUGCCAAUCUGACGGAUUGCUUUUACACUGGAUAACACUGCUCGCACGCAAGACUAUGCAGCGAUCGGGCAGAUUACAUCUCAGGGAUGUGAACCAGCAUCUCGUGUGUGUCUUGUGCAGCGGCUACUACAUCGACGCUACCACCAUCGUCGAAUGCCUCCACUCAUUUUGCAGGGGCUGCCUCAUCAAGUACCUGGAGAGUAACAGUUACUGCCCCAUCUGUGACGUACAGAUUCACAAAGCAAAGCUGUUCCUCAGUAUCAAGCCGGACAAGGCUCUGCAAGACAUCGUGUACAAACUGGUGCCCGGUCUCUUCCACGCCGAGAUGAGACGGCGGAGGGAUUUCUACGAGAAACAUCAGGAUCGCGCUCACGAGACGACGCCCGAGGGACGCGGGGUCGGCGUCGAGCGACUCAUUUACUCCCCUGAGGACAGCAUCAGUCUCUCGCUUGAGUACCUUGACGGGGAUGAAGAGGACUUGGGUUGUGCGUCCAGCCGAAGUUCUGUCAGCGACUCCAAUUCCUCUGAGGUAGCAGUCAUAAAGCGGUACCUCCAGUGCCCUGCCCUGGUCAGAAUCGGGCACCUCAAGAAGUUCCUUAGACUGAAGUAUGAUCUAAACGCGAGUCAUUUGGUGGAAGUGAUUCACAUGCGAGAAUCCCUGCCGGACGAAUAUACUCUAAUGGACGUAGCCUAUAUCUAUACGUGGAAGAGGAAUGGGCCAAUGAAAUUCUUCUACCGAAUCUGCCAAAGUCAGAAAGACCCCACUUUGGCUCCAGGCGAGAAACGACUUCGUGCCCUUGCUGCCUCAGCGUCUGCUGAGCAGCCAUCGCCGACAUCAUCCACUUUACAGUCAUCUUCAACUGUCUGUCGAUUGACAGAACCCUUUUCGUCAAACGCUAAAGACGUUUCUGAAGCGAUACCUCAAGCAACUGCUGUUGUACCCCCUGAAACGUUAAAACAGACAGUGGUCACAACAGUCGCUGCUAGUUCGUCAUCUGAUAAACCCACGUUUGUUUCUGUACAGUCUCACGUGGUAAGUGUCACCACGUCUGUCACGCAGUCGUCUCCAACAACUGCUGUAAAUACGCAAGCCGCUGUGCAGAUGUCGGUUGUAGCGUCUACCAAAGCUCCUAUCAAGUCAAAUUCUUCACAGUUACUUCAUAAUAGUUCCACAGGAAUUCAUAUACAUAGUCGAACAAGAUUAAUAAACAAAGGCACAAAUCAAUCCUCGGUGACCAUUACCAGAACGCCUUCAGCAUUAAAACCAAUUAAUUCGCUGACGUCUGCUGUCACUAAAACCCCAAUACGACCACUCGCGAUACCAUCAAGCAAAGCGUCAUUGCCAUCUUUGGCAACUGCAAGUAAAACUAUGCAGAAGCAGACGCCUUCUAUAACAGUUUCGAAAAUUCGUCAACAACCUCUUCCGACAGGUGCCGCAAAGCAGACGCACCUCGAAGCGGGCACCGGAAUCUCGGCACAGCAGCCAAACUCCGAGACCUUUACAAAAGAGGUCAGUCAGAUUGCCACUGUCAAGACAUCUGCACAUUCCUCUUCCACAGAUUCUACGCAACCACAAAAUCAGCCAUCAUCUGUUGCAGACAACAGCCUUCCAAAGAGUGGCCGAGUUACAAUCGGUGAACAUCUUGAUGACAAUAUCAAAACGCCUCCUUCUUCAUCUAUUGGUCUCGGUGACACAGGUUCCAAACCUUUACCCAAACAAGUACAGCCAUCAGAAAGUGGUACAGCGAAUUGUAAAGAAACAUCUGCAGUCAACUGCAUGGACAGAUUACCCACUGAAGUUAACAGGAAGCCUGUAAGUGUAUCUGGCGUAACUACGACCGUACCGCCAGAUGCAGCAAGUAAAACAAAACCCACUUUGACAAAUUCGGUCCAACAGCGUGCUCAGAUGUUGGCAAGGAACUCUUCCGUCUUUGUUAAAGUUACGCCCAACUCUGCCAAUAAUAAAGAGCAGCUUAGCACAGCCAGACACCAACUUCAGGUAACUAAAGAUUCAGCGAGACCACCUCGUGUGAAUCAGAAAAUAGUCGACAAACACGCGAAUAACCUCUUAACCUCCAGAAAGGACAAACCCGAUGAUGGCGAUAAAAAGGACGUUAGAGAGGAAUCAGUGAAUGCUGUACCGGAUCCAGAAAAAGGACUAGAUAAGAAGACCUCAAGCACAAAUAGUACCCCUCUGGCCUCUAAUAAUAACAACAAGAUCUCCCAUCAAAGUCUUCAGAUCAUCAAAAAUAAUCAGCAAAUCUUAAAGAAAAAUGACGAAAUAAUGCGUUGUCCAAAUACUAUUAAACGGACGGCGCAGAUCUUGCAGAGGAAACCGCAGGAUACGCUAAAGACGUGCGGUCAACUUCGAGCCAACGACGAUAAGUCGACCUCUAAAAAGCGGUGUAUACUCGCUACAAAUCCAGUGAAGCGACAUCUGGUUAACUCUGUAGAUGCCACAGGACAGGAUAACUUGGAACCGGCGUCCAAGAAAUGGCGCCUUGGCGUAGAAAACAAUCAUAGGACAAUUCACGUUGACCAAAAGUCAUCCGAGUUUAAAGUCAAAUGUACUUCCAAUCCCAGUGAAAGUGAAACCUCUAAAAAUGUCACAGGAGAGAGUUCUCAGGUUGUUCCGAAAACCACUAACAGUAGUUUCCAAUCACCGGCUCAUGUCGAGACAACAGAAGGUCAGAAGGGCCACGGCGUUCAGAAUAACGGUCUUACUGACAAGGUAGAGUCGCCCAUUCCGAUGCAGCGUCCCGCGCACAAAAAUCUCCCAAACAUUUUGUCAAAACAGUAUGACGGUCAGGCCCCGAAGUCUGACCAAAUUCUAGGGUCUUUGUCUGUCUCUCGAAACGGACAGCAGAUUUCUUCAGUGCCUGUACCUGCCGCAGCGCACUGUAACUUUGUCCCCAGACUACAACCUCCAUCUCUUAAGGGGAAACAAGAUGGGGAUUGCAAUGAUAUUGGUGCUCUAGAUCUGUCUGCGUCACCACGUCGCCAGCAGCAGAGCAACAUCAUGUCCAUUGCCCAGACACUGGCACGUCGUCACCAACAGCAGUGUCCUUCCCCCGGGCCUCCUCCUCUGUCGCCAUUGUCGUCUCUUUCUCCUUUUCCUGUUAUGUCUAUACCAGUGCGUUCGCCACCGCCACAGCUUCGUAUUCCUAUACCACCACUUCACCGUUCAGGACACUCGCAGCAACAGCGGCCUUCCUCGUUGUCUUCAUCGUCGCCCUCUCCACCUGCUGAUACGCUGCCUGGCUGCUCCAGGUCUGGGCUGCAGCGACAACAGCCCGCGGACAUUUACCCCUCGCACCUGCUGCCUUCUUCUGCUGUCAUGUUCCGUCAGCAGCUCGAGAUGAACAGAUUCUGGAAUUCAAACAAGCACAAUACGAACCCGAGCAUGGACUGGUUUAAUGACGCCAAAUCAGUCAAGUCGUUUGAGAACUUCAUGAAGACGCUACAGCAACAGCAGGGCAAUCGAAACUCCCCGUAUUAUCCGUACAACAACACGAAUGCAGCUCCCAACAGCCACCGGAAGUGAUGUAAGGCUGAACGGUUCUCAGAAACUAGAUAAAAAAGUCUGAAUUGUCUCCUAAAUAUGGUGGCGUACUGCAAACGUUCAAGCUCAGAUGAAAGUGAGGUUAAGUGUCCCUGUGCAUAAGCACCAUAUUAAAAAUAUGGGGCUUAUGGGGGGGGGGGGAAGUGAAUGUAAAGUACCACAUACCUCGACCUAGACAGAGAUAAUUGGCCAGUUUCAUACUCUGGCAGCAGUGAAAACAGAGAAACAGCCUCAGGUACCAUUUGGAUGCGUCCUAGCUACUUCGGACUUGUCGGGAAUCGAAACCCGGUCAUCCGGAUAAAUACUGACUAAACUCGGCUGUAUUGUAGGUAACGUGGGCAGGAUAUUUCCGGAGGGAGAGGGGACAAUUGCUAGUUCCCUCUCAAAUUGCUGACUUCCCUUCGAAAAUAAGCCUGUAUUUGUUGCGUAAUUAACAAACUGCCACAAAAAUAGUUCCUGAUUGUUUUAUAAGUUGAUGUAUUAGUGUAUAUAAUGUAAUAUAUGUGGUUAGUCACAUGCUGUUGUAUGUGUUAAGAAAAAGUGAAGGGUGGAUUUCGGAAAUUUUAACAUGUUAUGAAUCGAAUAUCAAAAUUCGUGUAAAAAUUGUUUUAUUCAGUAGACUGUCAGCAGAGUUAGAGAUUUUAAAUAUCAAUCGUAUUUACAAAUAUGAUUUCUUAACAUAAGAUUUAAAUAUCCAAAUGAAAUCGAUAUUUUAAUCCAUGUGAAAAUGUAAAAGUCUUAUUUUAAAUUCGCAAGUUGUGUUAUGAAUGGACUGAUACAAACAAGAAUGUUGCCUGAGAACUUUUAUAGCCCCAUUUCUUACUUCGGAGACGAGAUACGUACGCCAAGUGUCCUCACAACGUGGCCACUUCGUGCACUUUGCAAAGAGUGCGUAAGAACAUCCAAAGUCAUUUGUGUCGGUGAUUUUAGUUUCGAAAUCGACUGGGAUCCACUGAUGAUUUUCAGCUAUCCUUCGUGACAAUGGUCAAUAUGUGUGUGUGGAGUCUAUAGCCCCUCCGGGGAGGGGGGCAUAGAGGUCACGUAAGCUCCCUGACCCACGGCGGCCAUCAAACACAACUUUAUUCUACGCCGCGACGUUUCAGAAAUGGAAUACUUCGCCAUUUCGAGGCGGAUUGAGAUCACGGGGACCAAAGACACCAUAAACGAAGCGUCAUCUUGUCUGAUGACGAGUAGAAGCCCCCGGUGUCUCGCUGUUCUGUCGGCCACAAGGAAGUGAAACCAGACGUAGGCAGUCUGCGGACUGCAGCUCGUAGUCAGUGCAACAGCGACAUAACCAACAGGAAAACAGGAUUCGUGCUGCAGUCAGGAGAACUGACACUUCUUUUGUAUGUUUGGCGGGUUUCAGGUUCUCACGACAGCGAGUAUGAAGAUGGCUGUCUUCUGAGUUGUUGCGCCGUGUUGCCUGGUAGAAGUUUACAGACGUUUUAGAGGUGCUUUGUGCCUCCAUCAUCAGUAGAAGCACCUCUGAAACGGCGGUAAACUAAACCCAGAGGACAGACUCCUUGAUUCUCUUAUAAUUUUGUCUGAAAUCCCUGGCGUAUUCUGAACUUCAAUUUAGAUUUAUAGGCCUACAGCAGCUUUAGGAUUCUGUUUUCAGACAUACGUCCAAACCGGUCUAGCGAUUUCAGAGUUGUAGCUUGUAAUGCAGCCAAAACAGACUAAUCGAUAUUUCUCAGGUGUACAAAUAUUUUAUUGUCCAAAAUAAGUUUUACUCUGAUAAGCCCUUUUCUCCAAUGCAAUUUUUCUUUGUCUCUAAGGAGAAUAAAUUCAAUUAAGCUUUUUAAAAAAAACAAAAAGUACGAUUUGGUAUGUUCAUGAGGCCUACAGGUACACAUAGUUAAAAUGAUUUGAAGUUGGGGUUGAGACACGUUAAGGCUUCUGAAAAUUUUGUUUUCUAAUUACAUGAGAUGUUUGUCAGAUCAUUAUGCUUGAAGAAAGAAAAAAUGUAAUGAUUUCGGAAGUAUUUUAAGUUCCUGUUGGAUAACAAAUCUGUUAACCGGAAACUAUAGUGAACUGGACUACUUUACCUAGGCGUUUAUAUAAAUAUGGCAAAUUUCCAGUCUAGUUACAUAAAAUGGCUGCUCAUUCAAGCUCAAAGCACUGUUGUGAACAAGUUGCAAUUAAUAUUUAAUUAGAUCUUGUUCAAUUUGCGUUAAGUCCCUUUCCUGCAAAAGCCUUCAUAUUAAGUGAUACGAGAAUGUACUGUGUAUAACAAAAGUUUCUUAAAUUUUCCUUUA